UACGUAGGCGGACUGAAAAGUUGGGGGUGAAAUCCCGGGGCUCAACCCCGGAACUGCCUUCAAAACUAUCAGUCUAGAGUUCGAGAGAGGUGAGUGGAAUUCCAAGUGUAGAGGUGAAAUUCGUAGAUAUUUGGAGGAACACCAGUGGCGAAGGCGGCUCACUGGCUCGAUACUGACGCUGAGGUACGAAAGUGUGGGGAGCAAACA
rnacentral:rRNA from 1 species